ensembl:lncRNA
GUGAGUAGUGGCCCUGUCUCUGUUGGUCAAAACAGUGCACCAACCAAUCGAGGAGCUCUCUGAAUCUUUUUCCAUCCUUGGAAAUCUGCUGAGUGACAGUGGCCAUGGCAACAGCCCGGCUCUGUGCGGCUCCCUUUGCACCCCCGCUGUGCAGCGUUUGAUGGCAGUUAAAUGUGUUGUGGAGUAAUUGGGUUGUGGACCGGAUGAGAUAUGUCCCCUAAGGUGUGACAGAAUGUGCGAAAUGGAGCAGGUGGUGGAAGCCCAGAGGCUCCCCCAUGCACGCUGCAGCGUUCAAGCCAAUGGUUAUUUCCUUACCAGGUGUAAACCGCUCCGCUCUGUCAUCCUGUCUGUGUGACAGCUUGGAGUGCGUGCAGGUCUGGAAAAUGAAAUCAAGUUAUACUGCUAGACAGGAACAAUAACAAUUCACUGUGGCAUAAUAAAUUCUGAUACGAAUAAAGAGGUUGUCCUCAUAUUGCAAUAUUAACUGUAUCUCACCACUUGUGUCUCAAAAACAUACACAGUUGUGUGUUGCAGGCACUAAAAAUGCCAGCGGACCUGAUUGAUGUUCUGGACUGUCUCAACCGCCGCCUGAGAAUGUCAACAACCGGUCCUUUCAACACUUUCGAUCACUGACCAUGAUCAUGACCCACCCACACCCGUGCACCUCCUCAACUGCGGAUGCCUGGUCGUGUCCCAUCAAACCGUCCAACCAGAAGCCCUUCAUGAGACGUCCCAACUUCCUGCUCCAUUCCUCAUCGCCAGCACCAGUGUCUUGGCUGCGACGGAGCUGACAUGGAAAACCACAGUGCGGGAUGGUGGCAGGAGCCUGACAGAUGCGAGCCUGAGAUGAUACCCAGACUAAAGUGCCUGACUUAGGUGAGUACAACAUAAUGGUAUAUUUUCCCCUCUUCUUCAGGCUCCCGAUCGGCCCUCAUGGCUUCACGCUCCGGGUUACA